UACGUAGGUGGCGAGCGUUGUCCGGAAUUACUGGGUGUAAAGGGCGUGUAGGCGGGAAGAUAAGUCAGAUGUGAAAUUCCGCGGCUUAACUGCGGAGCUGCAACUGAAACUAUCUUUCUUGAGUGCUGGAGAGGGAAGCGGAAUUCCUAGUGUAGCGGUGAAAUGCGUAGAUAUUAGGAGGAACACCAGUGGCGAAGGCGGCUUUCUGGACAGUAACUGACGCUGAGGCGCGAAAGCGUGGGGAG
rnacentral:rRNA from 1 species